AUAAUUUCUGUAUCUCCUUGUAGCGUGGAGACAUUUCAAGAGACACUCAAGGAACUUCUGAGGACGGAGUGGUUUUUCAGAAAUGUGCGGUGGUGUCGGGGCCGAGCGUGGCGCAGACGGCCCAGGUGCGUCUGCUGGUGAACAACACCGCGGCGCCGGGGGCCGCCGACCUGUCGGAUCUGCUUUUGCUCGACAACAUCACCGGCCUCGCCGUCAGGGAGUCGGCGGGAAACAAGACGUCGGCAGGGCUGCAGGCCUUCAGGCGGCGGUUUCUGCAAGUCGGAGACUCCUUCUCAGUCAGCUACACAGCCUCGCUGGAGGCCGGGGACCUUGGGCGUGGAGAGGUCCUGGUGCUGCCGGCCCUGCUCACCUUCCAGAGCGCCUCCGCG